AUAACCCAAGAAGUUGGGCCACCAUGGGACCUAGAAACCCUGUGCCCUGCCGUGGAUCACAGUAGGGUCGCCGCCGUCGCUUCUCCCUCUCGUCGUUGUAAGGUGACCAGAAAUUAGUCAAAGAAGGUUGACCCACUACACCGCAUGAUUUCAUGGUUGGAUUGAGCGCUAUGGUGCAGCUGGAGCACGGGGAUUCCUCGUCGGAAUCCAACUCCGCCGAGGAUCCGCUUCAUGUCGUGGGCUAGCUUCUCCAUAACCUCACUGCGGCGGUGAGGUCACGAGAAUCUGAAGACUAACUUGGUACAUGGGAUCUCAAGUAUAAGACUGUUACAGGAGGCUUCGGCUUUGAGAUGAAGGUGUGCAUGGUAUGAAGGUGCGGUCUAAAGGAAGGAUAAACCGGCUCCGAAGUUGUGGCUGAAGGAGCUUCGGCUUAACACCAGGAUGAUGAUGAGAGACGAAACUGACCUAAAGGAGAAAAGACUCCUUAGUCCUCGACAGUUUGCCUUAUGGUCAACAGUAAAUGUCAGGGACAUGAGUGUAAUUUUGUCCAGGCCGCGUCUUGUGCCUAUAAAUAGAUGAACAGUAACACCAUACUAUUCACGCUGACUUGUAAUCACUCUCGCGUCAUUCCUGCUUUUUUCACCUUCUGUCAAGAUGAAAGUACAAUUGUAAUAUAAAUAUUAUUGAUG
rnacentral:lncRNA from 7 species